rnacentral:rRNA from 1 species
AGAGUUUGAUCCUGGCUCAGGAUGAACGCUGGCGGUAUGCUUAACACAUGCAAGUCGAACGGUCUCUUCGGAGAUAGUGGCGGACGGGUGAGUAACGCGUGAGAACAUGCCUUUAGAUUGGGGACAACAGUUGGAAACGACUGCUAAUACCGAAUGUGCCUUAGGGUGAAAGAUUUAUUGUCUAGAGAUUGGCUCGCGUCAGAUUAGCUAGUUGGAGUGGUAACGGCACACCAAGGCGACGAUCUGUACUUGGUCUGAGAGGAUGACCAGGCACACUGGAACUGAGACACGGUCCAGACUCCUACGGGAGGCAGCAGUGGGGAAUUUUCCGCAAUGGGCGAAAGCCUGACGGAGCAAUACCGCGUGAGGGAGGACGGCUUUUGGGUUGUAAACCUCUUUUAUCAGGGAAGAUCGUGACGGUACCUGAUGAAUCAGCAUCGGCUAACUCCGUGCCAGCAGCCGCGGUAAUACGGAGGAUGCAAGCGUUAUCCGGAAUUAUUGGGCGUAAAGCGUCCGUAGGUGGUUUAUCAAGUCUGCUGUCAAAGCGUGCGGCUUAACCGCAUAAGGGCAGUGGAAACUGAUGAACUAGAGUGCGAUAGGGGUAACAGGAAUUCCCAGUGUAGCGGUGAAAUGCGUAGAUAUUGGGAAGAACACCAGCGGCGAAAGCGUGUUACUGGGUCUGCACUGACACUGAGGGACGAAAGCUAGGGGAGCGAAAGGGAUUAGAUACCCCUGUAGUCCUAGCCGUAAACGAUGACAACUAGGCGUGGUUCGAUCGACGAGCCGUGCCGUAGCCAACGCGUUAAGUUGUCCGCCUGGGGAGUACGCACGCAAGUGUGAA